CAAAGGUAGCGUAAUCAUUUGUCUACUAAUUAUAGACCAGUAUGAAAGGCCACAUGAGGGUUAAACUGUCUCCUGCAACCAAUUUACAAAACUGAUCUCCUAGUCCAAAAGCUAGAAUGAUAAUAUAAGACGAGAAGACCCUGUGAAGCUUUAAAAAUUUUAUUAACUCAAAUAAUGAAUAUUUUUAGUUGGGGCAACUUUGGAAAAAAAAGUAACUUCCAAAGACCAACAAGUCAACCACGACCCAGUAUAACUGAUAAAUGAACUAAGUUACUCCAGGGAUAACAGCGCAAUCUUCUUCAAGAGCCCAUAUCAAAAAGAAGGUUUACGACCUCGAUGUUGGAUCAGGACACCCAAACGGCGCAGCCGCUGUUAAAGGUUUGUUUGUUCAACAAUUAAAGU
rnacentral:rRNA from 1 species